rnacentral:rRNA from 1 species
GAUGAACGCUGGCGGCGUGCCUAAUACAUGCAAGUCGAGCGAACAGACGAGGAGCUUGCUCCUUUGACGUUAGCGGCGGACGGGUGAGUAACACGUAGGUAACCUACCUAUAAGACUGGGAUAACUUCGGGAAACCGGAGCUAAUACCGGAUAAUAUUUCGAACCGCAUGGUUCGAUAGUGAAAGAUGGCUUUGCUAUCACUUAUAGAUGGACCUGCGCCGUAUUAGCUAGUUGGUAAGGUAACGGCUUACCAGGGCAACGAUACGUAGCCGACCUGAGAGGGUGAUCGGCCACACUGGAACUGAGACACGGUCCAGACUCCUACGGGAGGCAGCAGUAGGGAAUCUUCCGCAAUGGGCGAAAGCCUGACGGAGCAACGCCGCGUGAGUGAUGAAGGUCUUCGGAUCGUAAAACUCUGUUAUUAGGGAAGAACAAACGUGUAAGUAACUGUGCACGUCUUGACGGUACCUAAUCAGAAAGCCACGGCUAACUACGUG